rnacentral:rRNA from 1 species
UACGUAGGUGGCGAGCGUUGUCCGGAAUUACUGGGUGUAAAGGGAGCGUAGGCGGGAAGACAAGUUGGAUGUGAAAUACCCAGGCUCAACCUGGGGGCUGCAUCCAAAACUGUUUUUCUUGAGUGGAGUAGAGGUAGGCGGAAUUCCUAGUGUAGCGGUGAAAUGCGUAGAUAUUAGGAGGAACACCAGUGGCGAAGGCGGCCUACUGGGCUUUAACUGACGCUGAGGCUCGAAAGCGUGGGGAGCAAAC